rnacentral:sRNA from 1 species
CUGAAAUGAAAUGAUGAAGCCAUUGCAAAUAUAA